rnacentral:rRNA from 1 species
GACGAACGCUGGCGGCGUGCCUAAUACAUGCAAGUCGAGCGAAUGGAUUGAGAGCUUGCUCUUAUGAAGUUAGCGGCGGACGGGUGAGUAACACGUGGGUAACCUGCCCAUAAGACUGGGAUAACUCCGGGAAACCGGGGCUAAUACCGGAUAACAUUUUGAACCGCAUGGUUCGAAAUUGAAAGGCGGCUUCGGCUGUCACUUAUGGAUGGACCCGCGUCGCAUUAGCUAGUUGGUGAGGUAACGACUCACCAAGGCAACGAUGCGUAGCCGACCUGAGAGGGUGAUCGGCCACACUGGGACUGAGACACGGCCCAGACUCCUACGGGAGGCAGCAGUAGGGAAUCUUCCGCAAUGGACGAAAGUCUGACGGAGCAACGCCGCGUGAGUGAUGAAGGCUUUCGGGUCGUAAAACUCUGUUGUUAGGGAAGAACAAGUGCUAGUUGAAUAAGCUGGCACCUUGACGGUACCUAACCAGAAAGCCACGGCUAACUACGUGCCAGCCGCCGCGGUAA